rnacentral:sRNA from 2 species
UCGCUUCGAGCGCCGAAGGCAGGAGCGGGGGACCCAAGGUAAGCGCCGGGCCCGUCCGUUGAGCAGUGAGCAAGCGAAGCGCUGCGAGACGGACAGGAACGGCUAGGGGUGAAGUCGCACGCAAGCCGUGCGGCCGGGCACUCACCCGCCCGAACCCGACAGCUCACCUCGCAGGCGUCGGUGAGGGGAUCA